GUGCUCGCUUUGGCAGCACAUGUACUAGAAUUGGAACGAUACAGGGAUGAGCACAGCCCCUCACAGGGAUGACACGCCUAUGGGGGAAGAGUGAGUGUGUUCC